rfam:Strongylocentrotus purpuratus Contig135233_fixed, whole genome shotgun sequence.
UUAACGGCCCUUUUUAGGGCCACCCACUUCCUCUCAAACGAACAUU